CGGAGGGAUCCAAGCGUUAUCCGGAAUCAUUGGGUUUAAAGGGUCCGUAGGCGGUCUUGUAAGUCAGUGGUGAAAGCCCAUCGCUCAACGGUGGAACGGCCAUUGAUACUGCGAGGACUUGAAGUUAUUGGGAAGUAACUAGAAUAUGUAGUGUAGCGGUGAAAUGCUUAGAGAUUACAUGGAAUACCAAUUGCGAAGGCAGGUUACUACCAAUUGAUUGACGCUGAUGGACGAAAGCGUGGGUAGCGAACAGGAUUAGAUACCCUGGUAGUCCACGCCGUAAACGAUGGAUACUAGCUGUUGGGCGCAAGUUCAGUGGCUAAGCGAAAGUGAUAAGUAUCCCACCUGGGGAGUACGUUCGCAAGAAUG
rnacentral:rRNA from 1 species